GCGUCUGGAAGUUUUCCUUAAAGACAUA
rnacentral:sRNA from 1 species